rnacentral:rRNA from 1 species
GGGCAUCGUGGCGUCGGCAUGCAGUCGAGCGGGGAGGGUAGCUUGCUACCUGACCUAGCGGCGGACGGGUGAGUAAUGCUUAGGAAUCUGCCUAUUAGUGGGGGACAACAUUCCGAAAGGAAUGCUAAUACCGCAUACGCCCUACGGGGGAAAGCAGGGGAUCUUCGGACCUUGCGCUAAUAGAUGAGCCUAAGUCAGAUUAGCUAGUUGGUGGGGUAAAGGCCUACCAAGGCGACGAUCUGUAGCGGGUCUGAGAGGAUGAUCCGCCACACUGGGACUGAGACACGGCCCAGACUCCUACGGGAGGCAGCAGUGGGGAAUAUUGGACAAUGGGCGAAAGCCUGAUCCAGCCAUGCCGCGUGUGUGAAGAAGGCCUUUUGGUUGUAAAGCACUUUAAGCGAGGAGGAGGCUACCGAGAUUAAUACUCUUGGAUAGUGGACGUUACUCGCAGAAUAAGCACCGGCUAACUCUGUGCCAGCAGCCGCGGUAAUACAGAGGGUGCGAGCGUUAAUCGGAUUUACUGGGCGUAAAGCGUGCGUAGGCGGCUUUUUAAGUCGGAUGUGAAAUCCCUGAGCUUAACUUAGGAAUUGCAUUCGAUACUGGGAAGCUAGAGUAUGGGAGAGGAUGGUAGAAUUCCAGGUGUAGCGGUGAAAUGCGUAGAGAUCUGGAGGAAUACCGAUGGCGAAGGCAGCCAUCUGGCCUAAUACUGACGCUGAGGUACGAAAGCAUGGGGAGCAAACAGGAUUAGAUACCCUGGUAGUCCAUGCCGUAAACGAUGUCUACUAGCCGUUGGGGCCUUU